UGUUCUUCAGUUCGGACGUGCAGUCUGCAACUCGACUGCACGAAGCUGGAAUCGCUAGUAAUCGCGGAUCAGCACGCCGCGGUGAAUACGUUCCCGGGCCUUGUACACACCGCCCGUCACACCAUGGAAGUCUGCAAUGCCCGAAGCCGGGUGGCCUAACCACUUAUGUGGAAGGAGCCGUCUAAGGCAGGGCAGAUGACUGGGGUGAAGUCGUAACAAGGUAGC
rnacentral:rRNA from 1 species